rnacentral:rRNA from 1 species
CCUACGGGUGGCAGCAGUGAGGCAUAUUGGUCAAUGGACGCAAGUCUGAACCAGCCAUGCCGCGUGCAGGAAGACGGCUCUCUUAGUUGUAAACUGCUUUUGCACGAUGGUAAACGCAGAUACGUGUAUCUGUCUGCACGUCUAGUGCGAAUCAGGCUCCGCUAACUCUGUGUCAGGAGCCGCGGUAAUACGGAUGUGUCAAGCGUGAUCCGGAUUUCUUGGGUUGAACGGGUGCGUAGGCGGUCGGAUAAGUUAAAGGUGAAAUCCCGAGGGUCAACUUCGGAAUUGCCUCUGAUACUGUUCGGGGAGAGAGUAGUUGCGGGAGACGGAAUGUAGGGGGGAGCGGGGAAAGGCUUAGAGUUCAUACAGGAAACCGAGUGGGGAGGGAGGUUAACAAGCUACU